UGGCACCCAGACGUGCACUCAUUGCUCUGUAACAGCCAAAAUUUUGAUGUACUGAUAAUGCUGUCUCAGUUGAAGUUGAGUCAAGAUCCCAAAAUCUUUAGCUUGUCUCUUAACCUUUAGUUGACUGUGGGAUACCAGCUGGAAAUAAGGCCUAGGAUUAAACCCUCAGAAAUUCCUACCUGAAAAUUUUUUCAAGCUGCUAUAGCAACAAAUAGCACAGUGCUUCCUUUUAGGAUGAUAUUGCUGCAAAUAAGCAGCAGAUUGUAUUUGGUAGUUCGCUGUUAGGCAGCAUCAGUUGGCUGAAUAGUUUGUGCAGCUGUUUUCAGAACAGCAUCAGCAGUUAUCCUACCCAGCUGCACAAGAAGGGAGUGAGAACAACUUAAAUCAGCUGUUGCUGGAGGAUCUUAGAUAUGGUUCACUUGAUGGAUCACCACUGGAACUGAAUGUUCUACUCUUAGGCAUUUUUUAGAAAUGACUCCAGUGUCCUCUGUCCUGAAGAGCACUGAUUUCAUCACUCCAAGGCCAAAUAAGGCACAUUUACUUUUUAAAUGCUUAUCCUUCUGUUCCCUGUAGGAAUAUUUCAAUCAAAGGUUUUUCUGGCUCUGAUAUGAAACAAUUUAUUCCUUGACGGCAAAGAGUAUAUUCAAGAGUCAUUUGUAUUUAGAAGACUUAAUACAAAAAUGACACAACAAAGUUUUGUGUUCAUACCAGUUCUGAUAGAGGAAAACGAUUAAAUAAAUUCCUAGUACAAGCGAUUUUCAUUCAGUUGAGGCUCCGGAGAAGUAGGAGCUGCUUGCCAUGUAUGAACUAAUCUAUAACUAGAAGCCUGAGGAGAAUCAACUCAAUGCCUCCAGUGACUGCUCUUUCUGCGUCAGGUGGCAACACUGUCACUAAAUUAGAAGGAAGAAGCUCCAAGAAAUCCAGCUGAAACCCUGGAGUGCAUGUCAUCAGGCCAUGUAGACUUGUACACAUUCCACCAUUCAUGAGGUGGUCUUGAACUUACUCUUUGCUUGCAGUAUGAAGGAUUUUGCUCCCCCACUCAUAACCUAGAGGUUCGAGGACAAAAGAGAUAUCCCACUCACCAACCAGGAAGAUCAAAGAGAAUACAACCUGUAUUCCUGAUCCCUUCAACAUCUUCCCAAGGAAUAUAAAGACUCUUCUAAUAUUCUUCAAUAUCUUUGUUGAAGUCUUCUAUGACUCAACUUGAAAGAAGAGGAGUGGAGGGUAGUCCUUGGGUUUUAUAACUGAAAACAAAUAGAUAAAUAAUUAAGAAAGAAAGAAAUUAAAGAGCCAGUAGAUGGAUGAUUAAUCUGAUAGACGAUUAAUGAAAAAAACUAUCAUCUACCCUUUUUUUUACCCAAUACUCCAGUACUUGCAUGCAUUAUUUUAAUAUUAUUUUUUACACACAAAUCUGGGGUAAUGAAGAGAUAUAUGUUGAAAUCCAUUUGACACUUUUAAUGCACCUGAAGAGCAGUUUGUUUACAGUGGGGAGAAAUAAGCUGAUAUAUCAGAACUAGUGUUUACUAGUUUGGUCAAGGUGAAACUAUUCAGAAGUAUAUGAGAAAAUAUUGCAGUGGUAAUGAAAGGAGAGACUGAAAGAUGGAUAAUGUAACAUAAACUUUAAUUCAAAAAUAUAACUCUGAAUUACUUUCAAGGUUUUGAAGCUGCAAAUCUAGGUUCUUAUUCUCAGUAUAUUUAGGAAGAUUUUAAUACAUUCAUCAUCUCAGAAGUGUACAACAGCUACAGACUGUUGGAUUCUCAUGUCCAGAAUUUUCUCAGUGUUAAUAGGUUGGUGCCCUUGCCUAGUCAGCUGUGCUGCACUUAUAUGUGUAUGUGCACAUCUAUGUUUAACUUUUCUGUACGUGGUUUGGUUAAAAAAUAACUGCAGCAGAAUGACUGAAAAAAGCAUUUAAAUUUACAAGUCCAAACAAAAGAAUAAAAGAUGGAUAUUAACUGCUACAGGAAUGAUAUAUGCAUUCUUACAAAACUGUACUUUAUUACUGAUAUGGCUUUGCAUAGGGCAUUAAAUAGAACUUUAUAGAAAUGAGAAAUGCAAGUACUUAAAAAGUAAAUUAAAAAACCUAAAGAGAUUUCUGAUUCAUCACACUAUGUCCUGUUGUGUUUUUUCACUGUUGAUAAGCAAGCUGAUAACACAUUUUCUUUUCUGUUUUUGUGUUUUUUUUUUAUUUUACCCAUGUCAAAUAAAAAUAAAAUGGUUCUUCAGAUUUUCGAAAAAAAAAUACUGUAAUUACAGCAGAGGAAAACAUCAUGUUCUUUCAGCUUUCAAUAUUUUUUGAAAUGAUUAUCAUUCCAAAAUGUUGUUUUUUUAUGUGUUUAAUAUUUAUUUUCUGUAACAAAGGGCAUACUUUAUCAGGGACUAAUGGAAAUGACACUAAAGAUUAUAAAAAGAAAAUCAGAUUAUUUUCUCAGUGUCUGCAUGUUGUAUUGGAAGUAUUAAUCAUUGAGCAAUACAGAAAAUUUAGCAAAAUUUCUGGCAUGAAAGGCUACAAAUGGCAAUUACCACUGAUAAUCUCUAUAAAGCUUUAUUACCAGUAUAUAUAUGUGAGCAUACAAAAAGAUCACAAGAAGGAAGCUCAAUGCACAGCAGAGAGAGAAGACCAGAUGUCAGUUUUAAUCACAUUAAAACUUAUGCAGCCUUCAGAAAUGGUAGUAAUCUCAAUUUCCCUUCUUGCAAAAAGUUCCACUGGAUAGCAUUUUUAUGAGAGUUACUUUCAAUUAUAGCUUUAGAUAGAAAUUCUGGGUGUUAUAAUUUGCCUUUUUGACACAUCUGCUCAAUUAUGAGUUCUUUGUUUGUACUUGAUCUCUGCUCUCUAGGUAAUAGUUUGUUCUGGUAAAUCCUACUGAUAAUACAUGAACAACAAAUUAAGUCCUGGAUGUAGUAAGUACUACCUUUUUUUUUUUUUUUCUUCCUUUUUUUUCUUUCUUAAUCAAUAGAUUCUUACAUAAAUAUUAUGGUUUUAUGAAUUUGGUUAUUGGUACUCCACAUCAUAACAUCAUGUAGUGCACUAGGAGUUAAUUCCUUGUUUAAAAAGAAAAUAAACAACAAGAAUUCUAAAAGAUUUUAAAGUUAUUUUUGUUUUAAUUAUUAUUUUUAUUUUAAUAAAACUGUAGUAAAAUCUUUCCCAACCCAGUGUUUCACAGUAUAGUUACCUCUUACUACAUGGAGCGUCACAAUUCUUUGGCCUUUUGGUAGUCACUUGAUCACAGACUUAAGUUAAAUGCUUAUGUAUCAUUCCUGAAUUUGCCUUCAUGUUAUUGUAAAAUACAUACAUAUUUGUCUUACAGUAUGUACAAUUAUAGUGGGUUUUGCUCUAUUUUAGUAUGCUUCUGUUGGGCUCAAGGCAAGCCAAUAUUGUGCCCCGAUUAUUGCAUUCCUAAUUUAAAAUGCUAUGGGCCUCUACUUUCACUAAAGUACACUCUUAAAAAGUAGUAAUGUUUCUUACAGAAUGAUACCUGUUAUAAAUAUAGUAACUAAGCAUUAACUUGGUCUUGAAAAUGUGAGACAUACCAAAAAUAAAUUGCAAUAAAUUUGAAUCAUUUUUAAGAGCUGCCAAAAAGCAUAAAUGUCACAACAUCAUUUUCCCAUUAUAGUAAUUGAAUUUCUUACUUCAAGUGUCUUUGUAAUUGCACAGUUUUAAAUCACUGUGUUAAAAGCAAAAUCUUGGUUAGCAGGAAAUGGUUUUCUCAUGGAUCAUUGGAGGGAUCGAGACCCACCAGCUUGGAAAAGGGAGAUAAAAUGGGACAAUCAAACGUUAGCAGAAGCUGGUCGCAUUGAGCCUUUAGUUUGAUCACCACUAUCUGUUCUACAUUCUUAUUAAGUGUUUCUAACUGCCUUCUAUGAGAAUGCCCUCCCUGUUUCGUCCUCUGUGUGUGAAAUUCAUGUUGAACCAGCCAUUAAGAGAAGAGGUCUGAGUGCCAGCUAUUGGGUAGUGUCAUGCUCUAUGGUUGUGUUUGUGUGAAACUUCUGGAGAACUUAAAGCCAAUAACCUUCAUGUAUUUGGUCUAACUAUAACACAAGGGAAGGUGAAAUAUAAUGUAGCGAACAAAAACUUAAGUACGAUUCAGUACAAUAUAUAUAUAUAUAUUUUUUUUUUCCAUUUCCUUGUGGUAACUUCUACAGGGAAAAAAUACUUUCUUGAUAAAUUCUGAACAUUUCCUACUCUAUGAAAUAAAUAUCUUUGAAAGUUUGAAAUUUCUAGUGACUGUCUAAAAAAGGCGUAUUUUGAUUCUUUCUGUAAAUAAACAAUGAGUGAAGUGCAUACUACCAUACUGAGAUUAAUGACAAUUCCUAUCAACUUCCUUUGCAUUAGAAUAUUCCUUCAAACAUUUGUACAAAAGUCUGGUCUAGGCAUUAAGAAAACAUAUGUGAAAAGAAUGUGUUUCUUCAAGUUCAACUAAUUAUGUCAAAUCUACAUUUAUACUAUAGAUUUGGAGAGUAGUGUAUAUAUAUUAUAAAUUCUACAUAUGUGUUGCAUUAAUGCACAAUCCUAAAAAAAAAUGUUGAAUUAUCUAUUUUUGUACAAAUAUAGUAUGGUCAGAAAAUUCUGUUUGCAAUAAUCACAUUGGCAUUGAGAACUGAAUAAAAUACAUAUUUAUAGGUAGAUUAAAAGAAAACUAUCUUCUCCAACCAAAAGUAAAUUUUACCACUAAUGAUAUAACAAAAACACACUUUUUUUUUUUUUUUUUUUUUUAAGAGAAAAAUAUUUUAAAAAUGCUGGUAGUUACAGCUAUGAAACUGCUAUAUACUACAUGAAAUCAUAGUUAGAGCCAGAUGACUAUAAAGCCUACACACCAUUUAACUACAAGUGUUUAGGAAAAAAGGUGGUUUCAGUUAGUUCAUUAGAUACAACAGUGCAGUUCUUUUCCAAUAGGCAGACCAAAAGAUUAUUAUUCACUACUAAAAUAAUGUUUAUCAAAAAAUGUUAAUGUUUCACAUAGUUUUUUUUUUUUUUUAAUAAUAUCAGUCUCUUUUUAAAUAUUGAGGACAAAUUGUUUUCUUGAUAGAAAGCUAAAUGCUUUAGAUCUCUUUCUAUGAGGGCUUAUCUGAAAAUAAUGUUUCCUAUGUUAUUAGGUUGGCUCACAGAGUCAGAGGCAAAUGCUUAUGGUAUAAAGAAUGUUGAACCUUCCUGCCAAUAUUCCAUUAAAUUUGCUUGCCCUGCAACAGAUAGCAGCAGAGGCGCAGUCUAACAAAAUGGCAUCUAACAUGGAAGUGCAUAUAAAGCAAUAGGUAUGCAAUUGAAUUCCUUCGUGUAGAAAAAAAAUGUCAACCAUUCACAUUCAUUGGCACUUACUGAACAUUUAUGGAGGCCAAACAGUGGAUGUAAGCAUAAUUGAGGUGGUGGGUGUUUCCACACUGAUGACAGUGAUAUGAAGACAAGGCACAUUCUGGACCGCCAUGCAGAUUUUUGUACGUGCUGCAUGCUGGCUCUUUUUCAUCGCUGGUGAAAAUUCAUAGCUAAUGGUGGUGGCUAUGUUGAAAAAUAGUGUUUUAUAGCCAAGAGGUUUGUCUAUCAAAUAGUGUUCUUGCACUCUUUGUAUCUGUUACAGUUUCCAUGGUAAUAAAUAGGAGGCAUUACUUACAGAACAACCUAGGUAAGAUGGAAAAAAAAAAGAUAUGUUGGCAUUCACAUUAACUGUAUCCUGUCAUAUGUGGUCAUUAAAAUUAAUUUUUAUGUUUUCAAAAGUUAAUAUGAAUAGAAUGUAUUGCUGUUGAUUUCUUAACUACUAAUGGUCUUAUUCCAAAGGGAUAUUUCAAUUACUUUCUUCCUUUGUAUUUUUUCCUAAAUAUAAUAGGAGUUCACAUUUGUUUCUCUGAGUGUAUAAUCAAAUCAAACGUUUAGAAAUAUGGCUGACUCAGGACUUUAAUAUAUUACAGCUCAAAUAAAUAACACAUGUACAGUUUUGUGUAAUUUUAAAAGCUGUGUGAAGAUGAGUGUGUUUUCAUUUGUCUGCUCCAGCAACAAAAUUCCUACAGAAUACAAUUUCAUCUCUGGCAGUAAAACAUGUAUUUUCAAAUGAAAGGACUCUUAGAUGUAUGUAAAGAACAAAUAGUCAAUUUGUUUCAAUCAACACCUCUUUGAAUAAAUAAAAUACAAAAAUUACUCAUAAUGUUGGUAAAGGAUUUGUAUAUUAAUUUUGUGUAUAUGUAUAUGUUCUUUGUGUUG
ensembl:lncRNA